ACUCCUACGGGAGGCAGCAGUAGGGAAUCUUCGGCAAUGGGGGAACCGUCGACCGAGCAACGCCGCGUGAGUGAAGAAGGUUUCGGUAUCGUAAAGCUCUGUUGUAAGAGAAGAACGAGUGUGAGAGUGGAAAGUUCACACUGUGACGGUAUCUUACCAGAAAGGGACGGCUAACUACGUGCCAGCAGCCGCGGUAAUACGUAGGUCCCGAGCGUUAUCCGGAUUUAUUGGGCGUAAAGCGAGCGCAGGCGGUUAGAUAAGUCUGAAGUUAAAGGUCUGUGGCUUAACCAUAGUACGCUUUGGUAAACUGUUUAACUUGAGUGCAGGAAGGGGAGAGUGGAAUUCCAUGUGUAGCGGUGAAAUGCGUAGAUAUAUGGAGGAACACCGGUGGCGAAAGCGGCUCUCUGGUCUGUAACUGACGCUGAGGCUCGAAAGCGUGGGAGCAAACAGGAUUAGAUACCCUGGUAGGAUAGCG
rnacentral:rRNA from 1 species